ACAACAGCUCUCUCGAAUCAGAGGUUAAGCCAUAAGCUCAUUACGUCACGCUCCCUGACUCAAGGAAUGGUGGUAUGUUGGAUAGAUGGAUUGCCAUUCGCCGAUGAUGUUCUGUUCUCGACUUCGUCUCUGUUUACUAUUAUAAACUUUGUUUACUACUUCUGUUUUAAGUUGUUUAAUCCAUUUUUUGAUCUUUUGAUGCAUCACUUAGCUUGUUUUUUCUUA